UAGGGAAUCUUCCGCAAUGGGCGAAAGCUUGACGGAGCAACGCCGCGUGAGUGAUGAAGGUCUUCGGAUCGUAAAACUCUGUUAUUAGGGAAGAACAAAUGUGUAAGUAACUAUGCACGUCUUGACGGUACCUAAUCAGAAAGCCACGGCUAACUACGUGCCAGCAGCCGCGGUAAUACGUAGGUGGCAAGCGUUAUCCGGAAUUAUUGGGCGUAAAGCGCGCGUAGGCGGUUUUUUAAGUCUGAUGUGAAAGCCCACGGCUCAACCGUGGAGGGUCAUUGGAAACUGGAAAGCUUGAGUGCAGAAGAGGAAAGUGGAAUUCCAUGUGUAGCGGUGAAAUGCGCAGAGAUAUGGAGGAACACCAGUGGCGAAGGCGACUUUCUAGUCUGUAACUGACGCUGAUGUGCGAAAGCGUGGGGAUCAAACAGG
rnacentral:rRNA from 1 species